AAAAACAUUUCCUUUAGUAGAUACUUAAAGGUAAUACCUGCUCAAUGUAACUAUAUAAAUAGCUGCGGUAUCCUAACUGCACUAAGGUAGCAUAAUUAAUUGUCUUUUAAAUGGUGACUUGUUUGAAUGGUUUUAUGAGAAAAAGAUUUUCUUUGGUUUAUAGAGAAUUUAUAGUUCAAGGUUAAAAUACCUGAAUUAGAAAGAAAGACGAGAAGACCCUGUUGAGUUUUACAGUUUUAUGAUGACUGUUAAAAUGGGAAAUUUAAUUUUUAUUUAAAAUUUUAUUGAUCCUGAAUUUUUUGGAAAAAGGAUAAAAUUACCACAGGGAUAACAGGACUAUAUUUACUGAGAGUUCUAAUCGAAGUAAAUGAUUGUUACCUCGAUGUUGAAUCGAAAUAACUUCUUGGUGCAGCAGUCAAGUAAGUGGGUCUGUUCGACCUUUAAAAUUUCACG
rnacentral:rRNA from 1 species